AGUUAAUAUCUUUGAUUUAGAAUUAAGCUAAGAAGAGCUUUUAGUUUCUGCUUCCCUUGUAACAACUGGGGUAAAAAAGAAGCUGAGAAAGAUAGGAUUUGCUGGCAAAGGGGGCCUAUGUUGGUGCUUUUCUUGGUGCUGCAAUGGGACUGAGAUAUAAUCCACAGAGUUCAUUUGCGGGGUUCAUUCCAAGUGACACGGGCAGCAUGGGAACACAUGAAGAAACAGAAAUAUGGAAGGCUGGAGUGCAGUGGCAUGAACAUGGCUCACUGCAGCCUUACCUCCUGGGCUCAAGCAGUCCUCCCACCUCAGCCUCCCAAGUAGCUGGGACUGCAGGAUUAUUAUGACUUCAUCAGCUUCAGGAAUAUAUGGCAACUUUGGCCAGGCCAAUUAUAGUGCUGCAAAGUUGGGUCUUCUGGGCCUUGCAAAUUCUCUUGCAAUUGAAG
rnacentral:sRNA from 1 species